GAUGAACGCUGGCGGCGUGCCUAAUACAUGCCAGUCGAGCGAACAGACGAGGAGCUUGCUCCUCUGACGUUAGCGGCGGACGGGUGAGUAACACGUGGAUAACCUACCUAUAAGACUGGGAUAACUUCGGGAAACCGGAGCUAAUACCGGAUAAUAUAUUGAACCGCAUGGUUCAAUAGUGAAAGACGGUUUUGCUGUCACUUAUAGAUGGAUCCGCGCCGCAUUAGCUAGUUGGUAAGGUAACGGCUUACCAAGGCAACGAUGCGUAGCCGACCUGAGGGUGAUCGGCCACACUGGAACUGAGACACGGUCCAGACUCCUACGGGAGGCAGCAGUAGGGAAUCUUCCGCAAUGGGCGAAAGCCUGACGGAGCAACGCCGCGUGAGUGAUGAAGGUCUUCGGAUCGUAAAACUCUGUUAUUAGGGAAGAACAAAUGUGUAAGUAACUAUGCACGUCUUGACGGUACCUAAUCAGAAAGCCACGGCUAACUACGUG
rnacentral:rRNA from 1 species